rnacentral:rRNA from 1 species
UACGGGGGGGGCAAGCGUUGUUCGGAAUUACUGGGCGUAAAGGGCUUGUAGGUGGCCAACUAAGUCAGACGUGAAAUCCCACGGCUUAACCGGGGAACUGCGUCUGAUACUGGAUGGCUUGAGUGUGGGAGAGGGAUGCGGAAUUCCAGGUGUAGCGGUGAAAUGCGUAGAUAUCGGGAGGAACACCAGUGGCGAAGGCGGCGAUCUGGGAAGAUACUGACGCUGAGGUGCGAAAGCGUGGGGAGCAAACAGG